AGAGUUUGAUCCUGGCUCAGAACGAACGCUGGCGGCGCGCCUAAUACAUGCAAGUCGAGCGAGAAGACGUAGCAAUACGUUUGUAAAGCGGCGAACGGGUGAGGAAUACAUGGGUAACCUACCCUCGAGUGGGGAAUAACUAGCCGAAAGGUUAGCUAAUACCGCGUACGCUCCUUGGACUUCGGUUCAGGGAGGAAAGCGAUACCGUGGGUAUCGCGCUCUUGGAUGGGCUCAUGUCCUAUCAGCUUGUUGGUGAGGUAACGGCUCACCAAGGCUUCGACGGGUAGCUGGUCUGAGAGGACGAUCAGCCACACUGGCACUGCGACACGGGCCAGACUCCUACGGGAGGCAGCAGUAAGGAAUAUUGCGCAAUGGGCGAAAGCCUGACGCAGCGACGCCGCGUGGGGGAUGAAGGUCUUCGGAUUGUAAACCCCUUUCGGGAGGGAAGAUGGAGCGAGCAAUCGUUCGGACGGUACCUCCAGAAGCAGCCACGGCUAACUUCGUGCCAGCAGCCGCGGUAAUACGAAGGUGGCAAGCGUUGUUCGGAUUUACUGGGCGUACAGGGAGCGUAGGCGGUUCGGUAAGCCCUUUGUGAAAUCUCCAGGCUUAACCUGGAAAAGUCGGAGGGGACUGCCGGGCUAGAGGACGGGAGAGGAGCGCGGAAUUCCCGGUGUAGCGGUGAAAUGCGUAGAGAUCGGGAGGAAGGCCGGUGGCGAAGGCGGCGCUCUGGAACGUUUCUGACGCUGAGGCUCGAAAGCGUGGGGAGCAAACAGGAUUAGAUACCCUGGUAGUCCACGCCU
rnacentral:rRNA from 1 species